UACAAAAUCCUUUGGUAACGGCAUUGUGAAUUUCAAAUAGAUAUUUCUAUCAGGAAUACCAUUUUGAUUAUUGGUUUUUUCUAACAUCCCCAAGAUGAGACAAAAUUUACAUCAAUCCCACCCUUCGUUUUAGGUCCCUUCUUCAAAAAAACUUAUACAGUAUGGUACAUUGAAAACACCAAGGCCCUCAAUGACACUGUCAGCAAGCAUGACAUCAGCAGCAGGUACCAGGCCUUCUGUCUCGGCCUGGA
rnacentral:lncRNA from 1 species